AUUGAACGCUGGCGGCAGGCCUAACACAUGCAAGUCGAACGAGUGGCGGACGGGUGAGUAAUGUCUGGGAAACUGCCUGAUGGAGGGGGAUAACUACUGGAAACGGUAGCUAAUACCGCAUACCAUCAGAUGUGCCCAGAUGGGAUUAGCUUGUUGGUGGGGUAACGGCUCACCAGGGCGACGCUCCCUAGCUGGUAUGAGAGGAUGACCAGCCAUACUGGAACUUAGACACGGUCCAGACUCCUACGGGAGGCAGCAGUGGGGAAUAUUGGACAAUGGGCGCAACCCUGAUGCAGCCAUGCCGCGUGUAUGAAGAAGGCCUUCGGGUUGUAAAGUACUUUCAGCGGGGAGGCGUUACCCGCAGAAGAAGCACCGGCUAACUCCGUGCCAGCAGCCGCGGUAAUAC
rnacentral:rRNA from 1 species